AGGAGGAACAACCAUAGUGGCGGUGGCCAGCUCUCCAGCCCUGGAUUCAGCUCCUGCAGUAACUAUGGAGCUCUCAGUCUGCAGGGGCCUGGAUGCUCCGGGGGUGG
rnacentral:pre_miRNA from 1 species